rfam:Bacillus hemicellulosilyticus JCM 9152 DNA, contig:contig_3.
AGAUCCUUUUAAAAGAAGUACAGAGAGACUUCAAAAGGGGUUGUUUUGAAGAGGGGACUCCCUCUUUCAUUUCUAAUACCCUGAGAAGCUCACUCUCAGGGUAUUUUUUUA